rnacentral:lncRNA from 1 species
GGUCUGUGGAGUGUGGGCUGGUCCUCUGGGACCUUUCUUCCUUCGGCUUCCACCCAGCCUUGCCGUUUCACAGCCCUCACAGAGGGCACCUGGACAGCAGAGGGAGCCCAUCUCCCCAGGAGUUGGAGGGGCUGGCUUACCCAGCAAGCUCCACGCCACGAUGGGGCCCCCGUGCCUCGGCCUCCUGCCCAGACCCUGGGCGGUCCCCACGGUGCUCAGCCUGCCCCUGGCUGCUCCCCCCCGGGGCCGGGCCCAGGCCUGGAGCCCAGACGGUGGGGACGGCUCAGGACUCACGGGAGCCUGGUGGAGUGGAGGACUCUAAAUCUGGAACAAGAACCACCUGGGCUCGAAGUCACGACUUUUAUUUUGGAAAACAAGCAAAAGAAAAUGCAGCCUGGAAUCUUCAAACGAGGAGAAAAACCCCAUUCAGUGUGACCUCAGACCGACAGUGGGAUGAGACGCCCGUGAAGAUUUUGAGAGCCUCAGACUUCCUUUUGUUUCCGCUGCUGUUGCUGUUUAAACCUCUCUGAGCCUGCGUUUCCUCAUG